GUGCCAGCCGCCGCGGUAAUACGUAGGUGGCAAGCGUUGUCCGGAUUUAUUGGGCGUAAAGCGAGCGCAGGCGGUUUCUUAAGUCUGAUGUGAAAGCCCCCGGCUCAACCGGGGAGGGUCAUUGGAAACUGGGAGACUUGAGUGCAGAAGAGGAGAGUGGAAUUCCAUGUGUAGCGGUGAAAUGCGUAGAUAUAUGGAGGAACACCAGUGGCGAAGGCGGCUCUCUGGUCUGUAACUGACGCUGAGGCUCGAAAGCGUGGGGAGCGAACAGGAUUAGAUACCCUGGUAGUCCACGCCGUAAACGAUGAGUGCUAAGUGUUGGAGGGUUUCCGCCCUUCAGUGCUGCAGCAAACGCAUUAAGCACUCCGCCUGGGGAGUACGACCGCAAGGUUGAAACUCAAAGGAAUUGACGGGGGCCCGCACAAGCGGUGGAGCAUGUGGUUUAAUUCGAAGCAACGCGAAGAACCUUACCAGGUCUUGACAUCCU
rnacentral:rRNA from 1 species